UUUGAAAAUGUCUUUGAAAUGUGAACAAAA
rnacentral:piRNA from 1 species